GCUAGAUCCUGCUCAUUUUCUAUCUGAACCAUCUUUCUCAGGUGUAUUGGUGGCAAGGUGGCACAGUGGAUAAGAGUGGGUCUGGAGUCCAAAAGAUUCAUCUUCCUGAGUUCAAAUCUAGUCUCAGAUACUUAAUAGCUAUGUGACCUCAGCAAAUCAUUUCACCUUAUUUUCCUCACUUUCCUCAUCCAUAAAAUAGACUGGAGAAGAAAAAGACAAAUCACCCUAGGAUCUUUACAAUGAAAAUACCAAGUGGGGUCAUGACUGAAAUAAUACAACAACAUGCCAGCUCACUGCACGAACUUCCGAACGCUAUCCAGAUGUUACUUAUCUGCCCGGAGGGAAAAGGUUGGAGACGGGAACAAUUCUGUUUUACAACAAAUUAUAAAGCGCAAAUACAUUGUUAGUAAAUGCAUAGUGAGAGCUGGCAGUGGCAUGAUCACCAGGAGAGCACUGAGAAAGGAUGGAAGCUGCUCAAGUCGUUCAACCUGAAUAAAUGUAAUUGAAGGAGUCCUGGCAUGGAGGUGGAAAGGGACUGGCCCAAAAUCACCUAGGUACUUAGUUGGUGGUAGAACUGCUUUUGAUCUUUCCCUUCUAUUUAGAAAUAAAAUCCAAAGUAGUCAGUUUUGCUCUUGUACACUGUCUAGUCAGCCUCUGUCAAAGCUAGAGGCUAGACUUGUCCUUUUUACCAGGAAGCUUCUGAAGUGAAAGGCUUCUUUCCAUAAUACCUGCUUACUGACUGGCCUUUGAACAAAUGUUUGUUAGAUUUCAGGAGUCCAGGACAGAGCCUUUGGCGCCUUGCUGCUUGGGCUGCCCAGCUCUCUUGUCCUCAAGAUUUACACACCCUUUUCAGAAAGUCUAUUUGAGAACAGAAAGAAGCACUAGGCAAAGAAAGGAAGGGCUGGCCUCACACAAGGAUGUGUUUCCUUAGGUUGUAAAAUAAACAACCAAAUUCCCCCA
rnacentral:lncRNA from 1 species